rnacentral:rRNA from 1 species
GAUGAACGCUGGCGGCGUGCCUAAUACAUGCAAGUCGAACGAGGUGCUUUUGUAGCAAUACGAGAGUAACCUAGUGGCGAACGGGUGAGUAACGCGUUGGUGACCUGCCCCAAAGUGUGGGAUAACAGUCCGAAAGGAUUGCUAAUACCGCAUGUGGUCUCUGGGUUUAGAAACCGGUGACUAAAGGAGUAAUUCGCUUUGGGAGGGACCUGCGUCCCAUCAGCUAGUUGGUGAGGUAACGGCUCACCAAGGCGACGACGGGUAGGGGACCUGAGAGGGUGACCCCCCACAAUGGAACUGAAACACGGUCCAUACACCUACGGGUGGCAGCAGUAGGGAAUAUUGGGCAAUGGGCGAAAGCCUGAACCAGCAACGCCGCGUGCGCGAUGAAGGCCUUCGGGUCGUAAAGCACUUUUCUGGGAGAUGAGAAAGGACAGUAUCCCAGGAAUAAGUCUCGGCUAACUACGUGCCAGCAGCCGCGGUAAAAC